GACUUCUGGUUUAAUGCACCUGGCCCGCGGCUCUUUAAGAAUUUCACCUCUGACCGGCCAAUACUAGCACCCCCAACUAUCCCUAUCAAUCAUUACUUCAGUUAUAGAAACCAACAAAAUAGAACCGAAGUCCUAGAUUAUUAUUCCAUGCUAAUGUAUUCAUAGCAAUAGCCUGCUUUAAACACACUAAUUUUUUCAAAUGAUCUAUCCCGAAUCCGGCCCAGUUAAGGGUAGACCCGUUCCCCAGAAGGAUGGUAAACGCGCGCCGGCACUCACAAGGCUAUUGGAUUCGGUCAAGACUAACUUAUGCGAAAGCAUU
rnacentral:rRNA from 1 species